rnacentral:rRNA from 1 species
GACGAACGCUGGCGGCGUGCCUAAUACAUGCAAGUAGAACGCAGUUGCGAACGGGUGAGUAACGUGUAGGUAACUGCCUCAUCGCGGGGGUUAACUCUUGGAAACGAUAGCUAAUACCGCAUACUGUGCGAUGUACCUGCUUUGUAGUAGCUAGUUGGUGAGGUAAAGGCUCACCAAGGCGACGAUACAUAGCCGACCUGAGAGGUGGAUCGGCCACACUGGGACUGAGACACGGCCCAGACUGCGACGGGAGGCAGCAGUAGGGAAUCUUCGGCAAUGGACGGAAGUCUGACGGGGCGACGCCGCGUGAGUGAAGAAGGUUUGCGGAUGGUAAAACUCUGUUGUUAGAGAAGCGUUAUCUGAACAGAAAGCCACGGCUAACUACGUGCCAGCAGCCGCGGUAAUAC